AGAAAGAAAGAAAGAAAGAAAGAAAGAAAGAAAGGGAAAGAAAGAAAAGUUGACUGAGACAUGGCCCAUUCCCUCCCUGGGACCAGCCUCUUCUUUCCAGCUCAAGGGUCAAGACAGUGUCCCCAGGAAGAAGCAAAGGCUGUGUUUUCCACACUCUUAUCUAGAGGUGAGCUGGCAGAAGCUCCUCCCAGACUGCAUCUAUCAGACAGGGAGACAAUAACUGCUUGGGUGAGGAACAAAGGGAGGAGACACCAACUGUCCCCACUAAUGACAGAAGAUGUGGCAGCCUGAAGCCCUAAUAUUGGCUGUGGCCCUUUAAGAUCCCUCCCCACUUAACUGUAACACCCCCCUUCUCCAGGAAACUGGCAAGGACCCUUGGCACUGUUGGCCAGCGCUCUUGGAGACAGCCAGGACGGGGUUGGCAGGACUGCCUACACUGCUUUGAAAAUAUUUAACAAUAGACAUGAAGUCUUGCCAUGUUGCCCAGGCUGGUCUCAAACUCCUGAGUCAA
rnacentral:lncRNA from 1 species